rnacentral:sRNA from 1 species
AAAUAAAGUGGAUGGACAGAAUUUCAAGGAUCGCAUCAUUUCUGACUUCAUAUCAUCGAUUUUAUAGCCAGAAAGAGCUUUCUAAUCUUUCAGCAUAUUCAUGAAUUAAAUGAGAGAGAAAGGAAGACAACAGUGUCCUGCACAAAAAUCAUGAGCAAAAAUAUCAGCAUUGUGGACAACAAGAAAUGCAAACACUUAACCAAGCCAGAGCCACAGAUUCGAAAGUGCAAUGAGCAACCAUGUCAAACAAGGUGGAUGAUGACAGAAUGGACCCCCUGUUCACGAACUUGUGGAAAAGGGAUGCAGAGCAGACAAGUGGCCUGUACCCAACAACUGAGCAAUGGAACACUGAUUAGAGCCCGAGAGAGGGACUGCAUUGGGCCCAAGCCCGCCUCUGCCCAGCGCUGUGAGGGCCAGGACUGCAUGACCGUGUGGGAGGCGGGAGUGUGGUCUGAGUGUUCAGUCAAGUGUGGCAAAGGCGUGCGUCAUCGGACCAUUAGAUGUACCAACCCAAGAAAGAAGUGUGUCCUCUCUACCAGACCCAGGGAGGCUGAAGACUGUGAGGAUUAUUCAAAAUGCUAUGUGUGGCGAAUGGGUGACUGGUCUAAGUGCUCAAUUACCUGUGGCAAAGGAAUGCAGUCCCGUGUAAUCCAAUGCAUGCAUAAGAUCACAGGAAGACAUGGAAAUGAAUGUUUUUCCUCAGAAAAACCUGCAGCAUACCGGCCA